ACUAGGUUCGGACCCGCGCUACAGCGCGGUGGAAAAUUACCGGGCUUUUAGUCAUUUGUACGUUGUGGGAUAAUUUAUUUAUGUUUAUUUUACUUUAUUUUGAUUAUUAAUUAAAUUCUAUCAUUUUAGAUUGUAUUUUUUUGUGUUGGUUUCGAAUAUGUUCAAAAUUAUUUAAAUUGUAUGAUUUUAGUUGGAUUGUUAAUUUUAGAACAAUAUGUGACAUAUAUACAUGUAUAAAUAUUAUACUAUGAAUCAUUUUUAAAAUUUAGGGAUUAACCCGCGGUACACCG
rnacentral:lncRNA from 1 species